rnacentral:rRNA from 1 species
UACAUCGCUGGGCGCAGCCUGAUCCAGCAAUGCCGCGUGAGUGAAGAAGGCCUUCGGGUUGUAAAGCUCUUUUGUCAGGGAAGAAACGGCUCCAGCUAAUAUCUGGGGCUAAUGACGGUACCUGAAGAAUAAGCACCGGCUAACUACGUGCCAGCAGCCGCGGUAAUACGUAGGGUGCAAGCGUUAAUCGGAAUUACUGGGCGUAAAGCGUGCGCAGGCGGUUUUGUAAGUCUGACGUGAAAGCCCCGGGCUCAACCUGGGAAUUGCGUUGGAGACUGCAAGGCUUGAAUCUGGCAGAGGGGGGUAGAAUUCCACGUGUAGCAGUGAAAUGCGUAGAGAUGUGGAGGAACACCGAUGGCGAAGGCAGCCCCCUGGGUCAAGAUUGACGCUCAUGCACGAAAGCGUGGGGAGCAAACAGGAUUAGAUACCCUGGUAGUCCACGCCCUAAACGAUGUCUACUAGUUGUCGGGUUUUAAUUAACUUGGUAACGCAGCUAACGCGUGAAGUAGACCGCCUGGGGAGUACGGUCGCAAGAUUAAAACUCAAUGAAAUUUGACGGA